AGAAUCAACGCUGGCGGCGUGCCUAACACAUGCAAGUCGAACGAGAAAGGGGUAGCAAUACCCUGAGUAAAGUGGCGCACGGGUGAGUAACACGUGACUAACCUACCCUGGAGUGGGGGAUAACUGAGGGAAACCUUAGCUAAUACCGCAUAACACCUACGGGGUCAAAGGAGCAAUUCGCUUAGGGAGGGGGUCGCGGCCGAUUAGUUAGUUGGCGGGGUAAUGGCCCACCAAGACGAUGAUCGGUAUCCGGCCUGAGAGGGCGCACGGACACACUGGAACUGAAACACGGUCCAGACUCCUACGGGAGGCAGCAGUGGGGAAUUUUGCGCAAUGGGGGAAACCCUGACGCAGCAACGCCGCGUGGAGGAUGAAGCCCCUUGGGGCGUAAACUCCUUUCGACCAAGACGAUAAUGACGGUACUGGUGGAAGAAGCACCGGCUAACUCUGUGCCAGCAGCCGCGGUAAUACAGAGGGUGCGAGCGUUGUUCGGAAUUAUUGGGCGUAAAGGGCGCGUAGGCGGUGCCACAAGUCACUUGUGAAAUCCCCGGGCUUAACCCGGGGCCUGCAGGCGAAACUGUGGUGCUGGAGUAUGGGAGAGGUGCGUGGAAUUCCCGGUGUAGCGGUGAAAUGCGUAGAUAUCGGGAGGAACACCUGUGGCGAAAGCGGCUCACUGGACCAUUACUGACGCUGAUGCACGAAAGCUAGGGGAGCAAACAGGAUUAGAUACCCUGGUAGUCCUAGCCCUAAACGAUGAUCGCUUGGUGUGACAGGUACCCAAUCCUGUCGUGCCGGAGCUAACGCGUUAAGCGAUCCGCCUGGGGAGUACGGUCGCAAGGCUGAA
rnacentral:rRNA from 1 species